rnacentral:rRNA from 1 species
AGAGUUUGAUCCUGGCUCAGGAUGAACGCUAGCGGCAGGCCUAAUACAUGCAAGUCGGACGGGAUUGGAGAGCUUGCUUUCCAUGAGAGUGGCGCACGGGUGCGUAACACGUAUGUAACCUACCUUCGUCAGGGGGAUAGCCUCUCGAAAGAGAGAUUAAGACCGCAUAACAUUGCAAUAUGGCAUCAUAAAGCAAUCAAAUAUUUAUAGGACGAAGAUGGGCAUGCGGAACAUUAGCUAGUUGGUAAGGUAACGGCUUACCAAGGCUACGAUGUUUAGGGGAUCUGAGAGGAUGACCCCCCACACUGGUACUGAGACACGGACCAGACUCCUACGGGAGGCAGCAGUAAGGAAUAUUGGUCAAUGGGCGGAAGCCUGAACCAGCCAUGCCGCGUGCAGGAAGACGGCCCUACGGGUUGUAAACUGCUUUUGCAGGGGAAUAAACCCCCGUAUGUAUACGGGGCUGAAUGUACUCUGAGAAUAAGGAUCGGCUAACUCCGUGCCAGCAGCCGCGGUAAUACGGAGGAUCCAAGCGUUAUCCGGAUUUAUUGGGUUUAAAGGGUGCGUAGGUGGCUUUUUAAGUCAGGGGUGAAAGACGGUAGCUUAACUAUCGCAGUGCCUUUGAUACUGAAGAGCUUGAAUAAACUAGAGGUAGGCGGAAUGUGACAAGUAGCGGUGAAAUGCAUAGAUAUGUCACAGAACACCAAUUGCGAAGGCAGCUUACUAUGGUUUUAUUGACACUGAGGCACGAAAGCGUGGGGAUCAAACAGGAUUAGAUACCCUGGUAGUCCACGCCCUAAACGAUGAAUACUCGGUGUUGGCGAUAUACGGUCAGCGUCUAAGCGAAAGCGUUAAGUAUUCCACCUGGGGAGUACGCCCGCAAGGGUGAAACUCAAAGGAAUUGACGGGGGCCCGCACAAGCGGAGGAGCAUGUGGUUUAAUUCGAUGAUACGCGAGGAACCUUACCCGGGCUUGAAAGUUAGUGAAUGUGGCAGAGACGCCACAGCUCUUCGGAGCACGAAACUAGGUGCUGCAUGGCUGUCGUCGU